UACGAAGGGGGCUAGCGUUGUUCGGAAUUACUGGGCGUAAAGCGCGCGCAGGCGGUUCUUCAAGUCAGUGGUGAAAGCCCGGAGCUCAACUCCGGAACUGCCAUUGAAACUGUAGAACUUGAGGAUGGAGAGAGGUGAGUGGAAUUCCCAGUGUAGAGGUGAAAUUCGUAGAUAUUGGGAAGAACACCGGUGGCGAAGGCGGCUCACUGGCUCAUUUCUGACGCUCAGGCGCGACAGCGUGGGGAUCGAAACAGG
rnacentral:rRNA from 1 species